CUACGGGGUGCUGCAGUGGGGAAUAUUGCACAAUGGAGGAAACUCUGAUGCAGCAACGCCGCGUGGAGGAUGACACUUUUCGGAGCGUAAACUCCUUUUAUAUAGGAAGAAGAUGACGGUACUAUAUGAAUAAGCGCCGGCUAACUCCGUGCCAGCAGCCGCGGUAAUACGGAGGGCGCAAGCGUUACUCGGAAUCACUGGGCGUAAAGAGCGUGUAGGCGGAUUAAAAAGUCAGAAGUGAAAUCCUAUAGCUUAACUAUAGAACUGCUUCUGAAACUCUUAAUCUAGAAUAUGGGAGAGGUAGAUGGAAUUUCUGGUGUAGGGGUAAAAUCCGUAGAGAUCAGAAGGAAUACCGAUUGCGAAGGCGAUCUACUAGAACAUUAUUGACGCUGAGACGCGAAAGCGGGGGGAGCAAACAGGAUUAGAUACCCGGGUAGUC
rnacentral:rRNA from 1 species